GGCAAUUUUUGAACAGACUCGACGGUAACUAAGAAAAUCGUUCUUACAUAAGGAAAAAAAAACGCAAGUAGGGCGGAUGGAUCUCACAUUUACUGAAACCGAAAAGUUAACGUUAACAAAAAUUCCAGUAAGCUUGUCUAUUGGCGUUGACAAGUGAAGGUUAAGCAUUGAUUUUCUGAUAUGGCAAAUUGGAAAUGAUCUGUGUAGGUAGACACGCGUAUUCCCUUUUCUACAGAAAAAUUUCUUACUGUUGCAAGAGUUCAUGUUGAGAAGUUAAUUUAUUUUCCUAAAUGCGGUCGCUCUUUGGAAGGGAAAGUCAGCUGCUCCAAGUUAUUGCUGACAUGAAAAAGAAAUUCUCUCUUAAAAUCCUGCAACUGUUCGGAAGCCGAAGGAAGUUGGGAAACCAAAAGAUCCACACCACGACUCGAUUGAUUUAUUUCCAGAAAGACUACGAAUUCCUUGCAUUAUUUAUGA